ACAAUGGGCAUACUUAGUACGGCGAGUGAAGCGGUAAAAGCUCAAAUUUGAAAUCUGGUACUUUCAGUGCCCGAGUUGUAAUUUGUAGAAUUUGUCUUUGAUUAGGUCCUUGUCUAUGUUCCUUGGAACAGGACGUCACAGAGGGUGAGAAUCCCGUUUGGCGAGGAUACCUUUUCUCUGUGAGACUUUUUCGAAGAGUCGAGUUGUUUGGGAAUGCAGCUCAAAGUGGGUGGUAAAUUCCAUCUAAGGCUAAAUAUUGGCGAGAGACCGAUAGCGAACAAGUACAGUGAUGGAAAGAUGAAAAGAACUUUGAAAAGAGAGUGAAAAAGUACGUGAAAUUGUUGAAAGGGAAGGGCAUUUGGUCAGACAUGGUGUUUUUUGCAUGCACUCGCCUCUUGUGGGCUUGGGCCUCUCAAAAAUUUCACUGGGCCAACAUCAAUUCUGGCAGCAGGAUAAAUCAUUAAGAAUGUAGCUACUUCGGUAGUGUUAUAGCUUUUUGGAAUACUGUUAGCCGGGAUUGAGGACUGCGCUUCGGCAAGGAUGUUGGCAUAAUGGUUAAAUGCCGCCCGUCUUGACC
rnacentral:rRNA from 1 species